rnacentral:rRNA from 1 species
CUACGGGUCGCUGCAGUGAGGAAUAUUGCACAAUUGGGGAAACCCUGAUGCAGCAACGCCGCGUGGAGGAUGACGCAUUUCGGUGUGUAAACUCCUUUUAUCAGAGAAGAAAAUGACGGUAUCUGAUGAAUAAGCUCCGGCUAACUCCGUGCCAGCAGCCGCGGUAAUACGGAGGGAGCAAGCGUUAUUCGGAAUCACUGGGCGUAAAGGACGCGUAGGCGGGUUUUUAAGUCAGGUGUGAAAUCCUAUGGCUCAACCAUAGAACUGCACUUGAAACUGGGGACCUAGAGUAUGGAAGGGGCAGGUGGAAUUAGUGGUGUAGGGGUAAAAUCCGUAGAUAUCACUAGGAAUACCGAAAGCGAAGGCGACCUGCUGGGACAUUACUGACGCUGAGGCGUGAAAGCGUGGGGAGCAAACAGGAUUAGAUACCCCUGUAGUC